UUUGUAAAAAAGAAAAAAAUAAAGUAAAAAAAAAAAAAAAAAAAAAAAAAAGGACAUUGCCAUUUCACUACAGGAGUCAGUCCUUGAUCUUUUCUUAAUGCUGCGAAAUGGGCCUUACUGUCUUACAUAUUAGAAUGACUUUACUGUGAUAUUAACUGAAAAGUUCAGUGGUUGUUGAGGGAUUUUUUUUUCCUUCUGUCCUACUUGAUAAGAAUGAAUGUUCCCCCUGAAAGUGUGUGGAAAAAUAGUUCACUUUACAGAGUUCUGCUGAACAAGCAGGACUGCAAUAGUCUUCCUCAAAAUUAAAUACCAACUACUCCUGCUGUUCAUAUGUGACACACUUAUUUGCAUUUGCUCUGAUCUUUUGCCCAAUUAAAAAGCAGGAACUGAAUAGGAUUUAAUUACAGGCUUAUUUAAGUUUUCUUUUACGCAGACAGUUGUGGAGUUUAUUUAUCUGAGUAAAAUUUCUGAAACGUGGUCCCUUCUGCUGCAUGUUUUCUCUUUUUAGAAAGAGAUGCCUAGCCACUGAUUUUUGGUUUGUUGGUCUUCAGUUCAUUUCCUUCUAAUGGAAGCCAACAUUUAGCAUAAUGACACCAGGCUCUCUUUGUCAUAAUGAAAAUAAUGAAUUAGAUGAUAAUGAAUUAGAUGUAGCUCUAGCAAAAUUUUUUGCAUACUGAUUUACUUUUUUCUGAGGCACUCCGAUUUAUAGAGUACUGUUUUGUGUUAAGGAAUUCUUUUUUACCAGAGUCUGAGGGACAUAAGAUUAGAUUAUGUUCAUCUUUCUACUGAUAGAUUGAGUUUUUCAUCCCUCCUCAGAAGAAACUGUUGCUUCUGACUUUUAUUAUUUUGUUAUUUUUGGAUUAUUUGGAUUUAUACAUAGAAGAUUAUUAUUUCAUCAUCCAUAAAUGGUUUUAUUUGUGGCUUAAAUAGUUCAAUUAGCAUCAAGAACAAACAUAAGUUUUCAGCUAUUUUUAAAAGGAAAAAAUUUCAAAUUAAAUUUGUAUUUGCUUUUCAUGUUGUGGUGAUUUUUUCAUUCACAGGGAGUGUGCACCAGAAAUGCUAGCCUAUGUCCACAGGACAAGUUGCCUGAUGGUGAUCAAAGAGUGGACUCAAUACGAUAAAAUUGUGUUACUAGAUGAGAUUUUUCCUAACUUCUGAUCAGGAGGUGAGGUUUUUUUUUCUAGUCCUUUCUGGCCUGCAGAAUUAGUUCUAUAGAUUUCUAGUACUAAGUGUAAGUAACUGUAGGAUUAAAUGUAAAUAAAUAUAGAAAUCAGCUUAUGUGAAAUACAAAGGAGCUUUUUAAAAACAGUGAUUGUAAAAGAAAACAAAUCUGGUUAUGAGGUGACAGUUGGGAAGCGCUUUUUUUUUAUAUUCACGUUCAAGAGAGAUUAAAGUAUUUUUGUUUGUAAAUACAUGUAUAUACUCAUAAAGAGAUGUGAAAACAGAGAAAGUAUCUUAACCACAGAAUAUGUUUCCACUGAUUUUCAUCUGUUUUCUUCAGUGACAAAUCCACAUGAUUAUCCCUGUUGGGAUUGCAGGCUAGUAUUGGUACGGAAAAACGAGCUGUUUGCCAUAUUACUUGAUAAGUUAACUCAGGUUAGUUAGCCUGGUUAUUUUGUGCAGGGGACAGGUGCUUAGCCUCUGGCAAAACUAAUAGUGAAAAAAAUCCUCUUUUAAUGUUCCCAAAACCACUCAGUGGAAUUUAAUUUGUUAUCAUUUUAAGAGAUCAAUUCUACUCUUUAUCACCAAGGAGUUCUAUGACAAUUAACCAUCCAAUUGGAUACAAUUUUGUUUCACAUUUACAUAUUUUUUUUUUCUAUUUAAGCCAGUGGUAAGUCUUGAAGGUGUUGUGUUCCAGAUGAUACAAAUAUAUUUUUCUAUUUAUAGUUUUUUAGUUUAGCUAUAGCAGAAAUGAAUGCUCAGUCCUUUGCAGGUCUUAAGUAUCCAUUUCUCUUAUGCUAGAGAAUAUACUGGCUAUAUUAGAGAAAAAAUACUUUAAACCUGAAGGAAGUGGGGACGGGAAAUACUAGAGACUGCUGUGAAAGAACAUUCACAAAUGUAUGUGGUCUUAAACAACAUCAACAAAAAACAAUAGAGAGAGGAGGAACAAAAGCCCUGUUCUUUUGCUACGUAACAAAUUAAAAAUAACCUGUUAAUUGAAUUGGCAGAUCAUCUUGGAAAGAUAACGCUUUUGUUACAGUAGUUGGUAACCUCUGGAAAAAGAAAUAGUUUCCUGGAAUUAGUUUAGAUUCUUAUCCUAACAUUCCUAAUCCAUAAGUGGCUAUUUUCUGCCUUCUGUUGUUAGUCUUCUGUAAACCCCACUUCCCUCUCAAUUUAUUUUGUUUUGACGUGUCUUGUGAUUCUGUGGUGAGAAACCUUUCACGUGCAAUGAAAAAAAUAUCUGCUGAAGUAGUCUUCUGUGCAUUCUUAAGUGCUAGAAUGUAAUGUCCUUCAUUUUGUUUUGCUGUGUUAGACUACUACGGUAUGUCAUUUGAAUACAUAAUUUUUGCAGCUAUUUUAUCCGUUUUGAACUUCUAUCUAUAUGUUAAUCUCUGCAAAUGGAUAAUCUGAAAGAAAACAGUACUUGUUUUGCAACGGUGGUGACAGAACAUUUUUGGAACUGAAGUGUAUCAUGACUAUUGGGAGUUGGAAGAGAACCUUUUGGUUUGCAGCAUGAUGCUUUGCUAUCUUCAAGCACAAGGGUAAAAUCUAUCUUUGUACAGAAGGUCAAUGUAAGUCUUGUUUACCACUUGAUCAGAAAGUCCACCAUGAUGGAAAAUAGAUAUUGCUCUGCUGACUUCAUGGGAGCAAACUAAUGUCUGAGAUUCUCUCAGAAACUUAAAGGGAUGCAGGUCUUUGAAAGUUCAAGUGGAGAACAUACUUUUAGCCCUGUCUUUUGCAUAAGACUGAAUUUUACUGCAGGCUUAUGAAUUAUCCUACAUAAAAGGCCAUCCUUCAUCAGAUUUUACCAUAUGGUUAAAACAUAUAUACAUAUUUUUUCUGUUACUUCCAGGCACUGUGAAGCAGCUGGUAUUAAUGAAUAAAAAUAGCCAGCAAAAUCAUGGCAUGUGGUUGCUGGAAGGAACAAUUUAUAGCCAGGAAUCUUGUAGGUUACUUGAAGGAAGAAGAAAGGAGCAACCCCAAAACAUGUGACCUCUGAAAACAUGGAUGAUCUCUAAGUAUAAUUUGUAUUUUGGGCACCUGUACUACUCAAGGCAACGUAAUAUGAAACUAAGUAGAAAAUAGUAAUUCAAUUCCUUCUGCUAAAAGUUAUAAGGAAGGGAAUCGAAGACUGCUGGGUGUGAUAGCUUUGAGUUUUGUUUUCAAGCAAACACUAUUGCCAUAGUUUCCUUUCAUGCUGACCACUGUAUCAAGAUAUUUGAACCUAUUGGAGAGAUUUGAAAGAGAAGCGGUUGUGCCUUUUGUCUUUCAAAAUAAAUCGGAUAUAACUUAAAGGUGUGGAUCUAAUAAACAAAACUGUGAGAUUUAGUAAUAUUUUUUUCAUAGCGCUGGGUUACAUUUUUACCUUUCUGAAAAUAAAGUGGAUCUGCCUUUAUUUACUAUAAGUAAUGACAAACUAUAAGAUUGCUCUGUUACAGAAAAUGACAUUUGCAGACUUUAGUGUUUCAUAACUAAUAGUUACCAAGCUCAGUGGAUAAGCAGCAAAUGUUAUACAUUCAUUAAGGCCUUGCUUUUUUUUUUUUUUUUUUUUUUUUUGCUUUGUUUUUCUAUGGGACAAGAAGUUGAUCAUUUAUUUUCUGUAAGGGCAGUGGUUCAAACAGUGAAAAAGCCAAUAUAGAAUGAAAAUUCUGUAGGGUGGGAAAGCUAAAAAGUAUUCUGCCAUUGUAGUGAGAAAAAUAUUGAGACUUAAUUUGCAGUGUGUAGCAGAAAUGCUAAGUUACGGCUUGAAGCAGUGAUUGAGCACCUGGGCCAACCCAGGGGAGCUCAGGUGCAUGUAAUGUACCUGAGUAAUCAGAAGGGGUGGAUCCUGGCUCCACCCCUUCCCAGACCACAUUUAAGGGUUGGCAGUGGGUGCAAGGGUAUUUUGCUCUGGAGAUUUCUGCAUACCUGAGGCCUUCUGAAGGUAAGCAGUGUUUUUCCUUCAUUUUUGCAUCCAUGGCUACUGCAUUUCAGCUUCUUCUCCUUUGCUGUAGCCAGGGACUUUGCUGCCUUACUAUUAUUGUGAUGGAAAGCACAACAAUAUAGUGUUACACAGUCAGAUGAUAACGGCUAGUGUAUUUCCUAAUUUUUCUAAGUAGUGAGCAGCAGCUGGAAAGAGGAGGGAGAGAAUAGUUCUGUAGAACUUCCAUAGAACUGGAAAGAUUAAUGUCAAAUGCAAUCUUAGGUUUCCACAGAAGGAGAGAGAUGAUGCCAAAAAAAUCAGAAUAGUAUUGUAAUAAACUUAGAAGCAGAAAGCAUUUUACAGAAAGGUGUAGUAUUCCAUCUGUCAUUUGAGUUAGGUUUAAGCUGGUGAUGAGCAGAGGUUUUUGAUCUAGAGAGAUACGCAGCAACAGUUAGUGUCUCAAAGCUAGUCAAAGAAAUUCAGAUAUAUAGCUGUAUUUUUUUUUUAAGUGGUUAUGGUUGCAAAUUGGAACAAAUUACCUAGAGGAGCAAUUGUUUCUUUGUUUUGUUUUCAUAUGUUUGAUAUAGGAGUAUCCAUGUGAAAUACAUGGGAGGGAAGGACUACACAGACUUGCACUGUGUGGACUAGGCCCACAGGAGGGACCUUCUGCAGAAUAUAUUAAUCUGCUCUCUGGCUUAUCCUGAAGAAGUUCCUAGAUUGUAUAUGGUGCACUGGCACUAUAAUGACAAAGAAAUGUGACUUGCAGAAGCAUUAAUCUCUAACCGAAUUCUUCUUCCUUAAAAGGUUGAAGGAAACAUAAGUAGGCUAAUGAUCUCAAAGAGGAGCAAUGUAUUUCCUGAUGAUGCUUGAUGGAUUUGUGAACUCCAGAAAAGCCAAUAGGAAUAAAUGUCUGGUGGUUUUGUGGCUUUAUUACAGAAAAAUUAUUGGAAUAUGGAAAUCAUAAACAGCAGUAGUUGAGGCUCUGUGAUUCUUUUGGCAGACAGGCAAUUCUAGUGAGAACUCCAGUUUCGUGAUUAUAACUCCAAAACUAUUUAAAGUCUUCUAAUUAAUUUCAAAAGACAAUGCUGCUUACUAUUGUUAAAUUUAGCUUUUAGCUUACCCACUAUUGUUGCUAAUGGCAUAUUAAAAACUUGAACAUACAUAUAUUAUUAACUGGUAUUAUCAAUUAUGCCUUUGUCUGGCAAAUAAGGAAUUCAUAAUGCAUGCAAAGUGGUCCUAAUGUACUGCUUUCAUUUUGUGCUGGAAAGGGCUGAUCACUUAUAAUUUUUGCUGACUGCCAGUAAUUUGCUGUGGAUGUCAGAUGUACUUUAUUGAGUAAAGAACAGUACUCAGGAGAGGCAUAGCUUGAUUUUAGCAAAGGACUUAUGGAGAUGGAAGAUGCUUUUAGUUAAGCUCUCUGCGAAAGUUGAUCAUAACAAAAGAUGUAAUUGCGAAGACCAAAAUAAUGACUAUGAGACUAUUAGUCUUUCUUGUAACAGGAUGCAAGACUAGCCUAGAACAAAAAAUAUCUUGUAGUUUAUAAAGAUGGAAAUAAACAACUGUGGUAGUGAGGGACUUUAAAACCUCUUAGAGAAGAAGUGUUUGCAGAAUUGCUGCAUUUUUGCUAAGCGAAUUUAAUUCCUGAGUUCCCACAUAUGAGGCUUUUCUAAUUAUACCCAGCUGAAAUUUAGCAACCAGAGCUGGCAGCUGGCAUGCUUUUUUUGUUGUUGUUGCUGGAGAAAGGUUUGGAACAUUUCAUUUUUGGAAAGUCCUUACCCAUAAACUGCAAAUUAUUCCUCAUUGUGGCUUUAAAAAAAAAAUCCUUUAUAUCAAGUAGUGUAAUGCUUCCUCUCAAUAUACUCUUGAUACUAAUUAAUUAAAUGAAGCUGCUGCAUUACAACUUGUAGUAUACAAGAUGUAUUCUAGUGGAAAAAGUGAUUCACUCAGAGGUGCAGGCUUGCAAGCUGGCUGUAGACAGCACUGAUGUUAACACAGAUGGAGCACACUGCCCAGUGGAAACUACUGGCUUGCAAGUUCUUAUUUAUAUUUAUAUUACCAUAUAUUCAUGGUACGUUACCCCUUCUUCAAAAGGACUAAUCUGAGUUAAGAGUGCUCCUUUGUGGUUCUUUCAGACUAGCACAAGCAUUCAGGAUCACAGGGUUGCUAUUUAAAGAAUAGAUCAUUAACUGGUUGAAAAUGAAAUGUGUAUAAAAUCGCACUGAUUCUCAUCAAAUGGAUGUAUGUACCAGAUCAUUGCUUACAUUUUGUCUUUCUGAAUUGGUAUUAAUUAUCUUGUUCCAUGCAGUUGCCCACAUGUGCUAGUUGCCCAAAUGUGCUGUUCUUUGUAGAAAUCAUGAACUUAAGCAUAAAAUAUUCUAUGCCUUCUUAUGCAGAAUAUUAGGAUAUAUAUAAAAAUUUCUACAUAAAAAGAUCUUAAUUUAUAUCAAUUUUCAUAAAUAUAUACACUGUUUAUACUUUUAAAGUGUGUUAACUUAAUAUCUCUCAUAUCUCUCUUCUUUGUAUUUGAUAUGCUAGAAUAUCCAUCCAGGGUGUAUGGGAUAUUAUAUCUAUUCAUGCUUUUAAACUGAUAUCUGACGUUUCAAGAUGGCAUGUACCAUAAAAUCUUACAAGAGGUGCUGUUAUGUCAAUUUGUUGAGGAUGAUAGCAGUUACAGAAAUCUCUAUAGCUAUUCUGUUCUGGCAUGCAUUGCGCAUGCCUGCUGAAAUGAGUACAGUGUAGCUCCCCCUAAAGGGAGCCAACUAGAAAGCUCGAGGGGGACUCUUUUAUCAGGAGUGUAGUAACAAGACAAAGGAUAACAGAUUUAAACUGAAAGAGAGUAGGUAUAAAUUAGAUGCAAGGAAUAAAUUCUUUACUCAGAGUGGUGAGACUGGCACAGGCUGCUUGGGGAAGCUGUGGCUGCCCCAUCCGUGGAGGUGUUCAAGGCAAGGUUGGAUGGGGCCCUGGGCAGCCUGAUCUGGUGGGGGGGGUGGCAAACAGAGGGUUGGAACUGGAUAAUCUGUAAGAUCCUUUCCAAAUCAAAUCAUUUUGUGAUUCUGUAUUUUGAUUUAACUGGGAAGCAGUCUGCCAAAAACUUACAGCUCUAUUUUCAAUACAGUAGGAGAACAGAAUACUGCAAGAUAAGAAAAUAUGAUGGUAGUAAGGCAUCCUAUGAUGAAAACUAAAUGCCAAGAACAUUUGGUAUCCUGCCCUCAGAACUAUAAGCUUUUUGAAUUCCUUUCUUCUUUCGAUGCUUGAAAGAAGUCUGAACUGUCACUGACCCCAGGAGAAAGGUCUGAGAAGUUUUGCUUAAUCUCAAUAAGUAAUGCUGGGUACACUGUAGGAACUGGUCAGAGGUUUACAUAAACAGCAUCUGGGUCUAUUAAUUUCACUAUAACAAGCACAGGGCUUUUUGUUCAUUAAAUGUUUUGGAGAACAUAUUUGUUCUAUAACAUGCAAAAUUUAAAAGCUAGCAGAAUAUGUAGUCUUUUCUGAUAGAGAAAUUUCAUACAAUUAAGAUGAUUUUAAAAGCAUGUUGUAAGGGCUUCCUAAAUUUUUAAUGACUAAUGGAAGCUUUCUCUUUUUUUUUUUAAGUUUGGAUGAGGACAAUUGAAACCGUUCCCCAGAAGGCCUUUCUUUUAAAAAGAGUUUCUUUAUAAAUUCCUCCUGUGUCUUGGUAUUAUGUAAGCUAAUGAGUCCCUGAACUAUAAUAAAUACUGGUUAGCUGACCUUUUUAAACAACAGUUCAAAUAGUUUGGUUUCAACCCAAAGCUAUUUGUAAAUUGCUCUUAUUUAUUAUUCACAUUGAGUCAAUUCAUUUUCCAUAAAAAUGAGAUUAUUAAGAUCUGACAUUAGGCUGAGAAGUAAAGAUACCAGACUCAUUACUGGUCUCACAAUGGCAGCGUAGCCCCAGUAACAUACGUAACAGUGAUAAAAUUGUAGUUUGUAUAUUCUAAGGACAUUUGUAGACUCUGAAUCUUUGCCUAUUCAUCUUUUUACAAUUUGAGACCUCUGCUUCAAAAUUCAAGAAAAUUGAAACAAAAAAACAAAACAGACUAAUAGAGUUCUAAGACAACAGUAAAGGAAAACACUAGGAACUCUCACCAAAAUUCCUUCUUAAUGUUAUAAAUAUAGUUAACUCCCUGUGGUUGGUUGGGUUGGUUUGGUUUUCUUGAUUUUUAUUUAGGGUUAAGUGACAACUAUGCCAGAAAGGAUCUGGCACUUCUGAUGGACAAGGAGAAAAUGAGUCAGGAGAUCUGGCCUUGCAUUAACAUUCCCCGGGAGCAAGUCCCGGAGAAGGCCACCAGGAUGGUCAGAGAAUGAACACAUGAAGUAUAAGGAGUGGUUGAGGGUGCUGAUUUUUUUUUUUUUUUUCCCCUGGCCUUUAAGUGAAAGCUAAAGGGAGACUUUGUUACUUUCUACAGCUAUCUAAUGGGAGGUUUUGGAGAAGACAGAGGCAGGCUUCUACUGGAGGUACACAGCAAAUAAUAGGAGGCAAAACUAUUUGCAACAAGGGGAACUGUAAUUAGGAAAAAAACAUUGUCAGAGUAGUUAAAUAAUAGAAAAAAAUUGGCUAGAGAAUAGGUGGAACUUCAUUCUUUAAGAUAUUCAAAAUGCAACUAGUCAAGGUCCUGAAUAAACUGCUUUCAAGAGAGUUGAAUCAAAUGUGCUCUGGAGGUCUGUUUCAUCCUAAAUUAUUCCAUGAACCUUGGAGGGGAAAAUGAAAGAAUGAAAGGUUUUAAUACUGGAGAAAAGACAAAAAUCUGAUUGCUCUGAUGAAAAUUAAUUGCUUGUUGUGAUGUUAAAACUUAUCCAUGAGAGAAUUUGGAUAUUUUUUUGCAGAACGUGCUUUGGGAUAAAAUUACUUUUCUUUGUUCUGAAAAAGCUGCAUGUGUAACUUUCCACCUGUAUUAGACAAGAAAAAAUAUUUCUUUGUAUUGUAUUACCUGCCUCCUCUACAGAAAAACAUCUGUUCUGUGGGAGUUACCACAUUACUGUUUCUUCAUUAAUCUUCAUUUUCCAGUGGUGGGGAAAAAAGAAAACCAACACUUUCAGGAAAAGCUAAAGAAAGAAUAUUGGAUCUCAGUUGUUUUCCUCACUGUAGCCUUUCCCUUUAAGGAGGAAAGCUAUCUUUGCAAAGUAGAAGAGGAAAGGUUUUGAGGUCAGAGAUUGCUCAGUAUUAGCAGACCUUACACUUCCUGUGAUUUACAAAAAAUAUUCUCAAAUGUAAAAUCUAGCCUUGAGCUUAAUGACUAUAGUAAACAUUGUAUUAAUCUAAAUUUUUGAAUAAAGUAAAUGUGAAAUGAUUAAGAGACAUGGCAUGUGUAGUUUCCAUGAAGUAGGAAAAAAGACAUGAGUUUAGAAUCUUGAGUUGUGGACAAAGGAAGGAAUCAGAAUCUGAAGAUGAUUUACUUUGGUUAUUGGACAUAUGAUCUUAUAUACCUGUAAUUAAAAUAUUAAGAAGUGAAUAUUUUGCUUCUUAUUUCCCACUAUAAACUCAUUCAGGAAGGGAAAGUACAGAAGUAACUCCCUUCACCUCUACUAUUUUUACAGGAAUGUGAAUAUCAAGUGUAUUUAAUGUCAGAGCCCAACUGUAUUGAAGAACUGUAUAAAGGAUGUUUUAUUUCAUUUUUCUUUGGGCCUUUUUUAUGAUUGUUUUUUUCCAGAUGCUUCCAUUCCAAAUAAAUGUCUAUGAACUUUCCUUUGGGCAGUCAGAAACCACUAAUGAGUUGUUAUAGCUGCUGUCAGACUACUACCUGUUUUCAACCAAAUUCCCAUAUUUUCUUGUUUCUUAAAAGCAUUUAAUCCCAAGCAGCACUGAAUAUUUUUUAUUUCUGAUGAAGCACUCAGCAUUGUGAAAAUCAACCUCAUAAAGAGAUCUGUAGGGCAUUACUAAUGUAUCUUCAAAAUGUCAACUAUAAACACAUUUGUGUCAUGAACAAUCAAAGACUUAGGUCUUGUACUCAUUCAUGUUAUAGAACAUGAAGCAAACCCAGGAAGACCACAUCCUAGCAUGACUACUCUAGGUUAGGAUGUAUUUUUCUUUUCUACUUAUUUCUGCUUCUUUGAAUGCCAUAAUUUGUUUCCUCAUUGGGUGGCUGACUCUGACUAACUGCUGUCAGGCAUAUGCUCUCUUCACUGCCACUUUCUUCUUGUUCCACAGACAGCUGAAUAAGUUGCAUGCCAGAAGCUUAUUGUGAGCUGGGAAGAGCAUGAAAGUGUCCUUUCUGGCUUUAUUUCAAUGUUUUAGCCAGAUCCUGAUGUUGGGUGGAACCCGGAAAGUAUUCACAUAGAAAAACAAUUAAGAAAAUACCAUGAACAGUAUUAAUUUGAUUUUAUUUUCUUAUGUGAAUUUAUCUGACUCAUUUCAGCAAUGUUUAUUUCAAAGACUCAAAUACUUAUUUUUUUUUCCCUUAAACUGGAUAAUGAAAAUAUUCCACUUGCCUUUUUUUUUUUGUAGGUACUAACCAAGCUGGAAGUAAAAACAAAUUAAUUCCUUAAAUUCAGUAGGAGGAAAUAGGUUUCAGAGUAAUGAAACUGGUUCUGUGUUGUAAAUAUUGUUCCCUCUUGCUGCAUAUAAUAUAGGUUGUUUUUUAUUUGUAACAAAAAAGCUAACAAUAAUUAUUCUAUGUUAAUCCAUGCUUUAAUAAAUGCCAUGUAUACUUAUUGUUACAGGUGAAUUGAUAGCUUUCAAGAUAAAUCAAACAGCUCUAACUAUGGUCAACCAGGAAUGAUAAAUAAUGCACAUAGAUAGCCUUUCUUCACUGGAGAACUGAAGGUUGCAUUUUGCUUAAGGAUAUUUCUCUUGAAACAGGAAGUUUGGUACAGCUACAGGGUAAGAAUGUUAAUAAAAAUGUUAAUAGAUUAAUUAGUUCUAACACUUACUGCAGUAGUUCCAAAUACAGUUGUAUAUAUCUUUCCAAGGUUCUUUAUAUUUGUUAUGAGAAGCAGACUUGCAUUGCAGUGCACAGACAAGGAACUCAAAAGCUAAAGGCAGACUUUAAUGUCAGUCUUCGCAUCAGAGAAGAAUUUACAAACAUGGCACUGCUCAUCAUCCAGAUUACAACUGGUCACCAAGUGAACUAGAAACAGUCUCUUCAGGAAUGAGAAUAUAAGGUUCAAUGUCUAUUGCUUUUUCCCAGCAAAUAGUGAAACCUUUCUAGAAAAGGUAAACCUGCUUGUCCAUUUUCAGACAAGUAUGUUUCAGAAGCACGAAGUCCAAGUAUGAGCUCAUCCCAUCCUGUGAGAUUGUUUUAGCAUACAUCUGCUGAUCAAUACUUAAAAAGGUUUUAAUGAUGUUGGGAGGAGGGUCAAACUUGAAACCAUCUUAAAACUUGGAGUUAGAUUAAGUAAAUUUGCAGAAUAACUUUAUUCUUGCUUUGUUUGGCUGUUGCUUCCUUAUUUGGGGUGUUCUGAUACAUUAUGUCAAUCAUUUUCCUGGUUGAGUUUUUGCUGGGUGGGUCAGAGAGUAAAUAGAAUAAUGCAUCAAAACUGUCUGUCUGGUAUUUAACAUCCCUAAACUAAGGCAAAACUGAGUUGUGAUUACACAGGAAGACAGGAGAUAUAGCACUUCAGCUAUCAGUUAUUCUGGCAUUAACUGAGGAACCAUGGAGAAUGUGUUGGGAAUGCUGUUGCAAAAAGUUUUAGCCACUUUUUACUGAGACUGAUAGCGUGCUGCUGAUGGAGAAGGAUUUAAAUAUAGAUGUUAUGCUGGUAAACUUUACAAUAUAAUUUAGAAGUAAGAAAUCUGAAGGAGAGAGGGGGAGUGAAGAAAAAGUAAAUCAUUCCCUGAACGGUGAGGUUCAUGUUGAUGUCAACAAGCCUUCUGGAUCAGUGCUGAUGAAUAGUUGUAAAUGAAGCUAUUAAGUUGUUUUGGAAAGAUUUUCUUGUUCCAUAGUGACUCUCAUGAAAGCAGGGAUCAAACCAUUUGCUUUUAUAUUUUCCCAGGAAACCUAUUUAUCCCACUCUCCCUUCUUCAAGUCAAUGGAAAGGUUUCUAGAAUGUCUUUCCACUGUCCUCAUUAUUUGCAUGGAGUUUCAUGUUACUUUACAAAUAAUAUGGGGAAUACUGAUUAAAUGAAAAGAUAGAAUUUAGUGAGUCAGAUAUAGUUUGUGAAGUUAUUGUCCAGAAUUACUUUUGUCCAUGUGUGUGUCCUCUAUUUACCACAAUUGUUCCUUGUACAGUGGUUUAUUUGUAUUGUGUGGGUUAAUUGAUAACAAAUACCAUUUGUGGCAUAGGUAAUAAGAAGCUUGGAACCAUCUUACUGUACCUUUUAAUGCCUGAAACCACCCCUCCAUCUGCUGCCUUCUCCCUUUUUCCCCCCCCCCGGCCACCCCCCCCAGAUACUACCAAACAAAAAAAAACCACAGAAACCAAGAAUGCUCCAAAACUUUUGACUGCAAUUGCAACUGCUUCAAGGCAAAAGAUGUAUAGCUAUGUCCCUCAGUCUCAUGUCAUAGUGCUCUGGGUAUGCUGUUCUCAUUCUAAACCUAGUGAAUGAAACCCAAAAAGGAAGGGCUCUCUUAUGAUUAAGAGCUAGGCGGGGUCUUGAAAGAAAUGGAUUUACUGCAUCAUUCCAUGUAACCUGGAGCAAGGCUCUGUGGACAGAUGUUCAGAGGUGCCUAGCUGAAUGGGAGGUAGCUGUCUGACAGGAUGGAGAGCUCAUGCUAUUUCUCUUCUACCAGAGCUAUUGCUUGUACUUUGUUGGAGAAUACACCUCAUCUUAGGCAUCUGCCUUCUACGUUUCCUUGUUUCUAGCCUUGCACUAUCUGUUGACUCCUUAUAAAUUGAAUUUUUCAUAUUAAAAUGCUCAGCUUUAUGCAUGAACGUGACCCCACUCUCCUGUAACUGCUAGCAAAUAAUGCAAAUAAUUAUUUAACAUGGUGAAAUUAAAAUUAUAUCUGGCAAGGUUAAUGCAGAGGAUAAAUGACUAUAUUAUUCCUGCCUCCUCAAUGGAUAAAUUGCACCACUUCUAUCAUACAUGAGUAUGUAGUUUGAACUAGUGAUGAUAAACUAGUGAAUUGUAUUAGUAUAUCAGUACCACAGUAAUAUCAUGGCUUUAAUUCAGUAGCUGUGUACUAGCACAGUAUUUACAAUGUCUUGAUUUCUAGAGCUUGGGCGGCCUGUACUUUGUAACUGCCCAUCUCUGCCUGUGUUAAAAGUCUCUCAAAACAGUGUGUCAAUACUUUACAUGUCAUUUCUUUCUGCCUCUAUAGGUGGUGCUGAUUCUAUCCCCUUGGCAAAGAUUUGCAUCUGAGCUGUUGCACUGAUGUGUUUGAUGCAGUUGUGCUGAUGAGAGCUGUGUUGAUGUAGAAGAUCAUGUAUCUCUGAUAAAUAUAUGCUCAGCUUUCCCCUGCCAUUUUUACCUGCAACUCUUCAAGAAGGUGUUGUUGCUUAUAAGGAUCAGGUUAUAAUUGUCUAUUGACAUCUGAUUGUCCAGAGGCUAGGCAGUAGAGGAAAAAAGAGGUUCCCUAAUACACCUGAAGCAGUACUACAGAGUCAUAUGAAACUGGUAUUAGUGUCAAAACAAGUUUUCAGUGUUGAAUGUUGCCUAUCAUUAGAAAUUGAUAUUAUAUUUACUGGAGGUUUUCUACUUGAAUGUAUUUGGUUGUUGCUUUAUCAGAGUCAACAUAAAUUAGCAGCACUGUUAGCCUUUAUAGUCAAAAGAGCAUUCAGUGUUUUUAAGAAACAUAAAGGGUUUAUUACAGUAUAUAUUUCCCACCUGAUUUCCCAUCUUGUUAUGGGAAGUCUUUGACUUCGGAGUUGACCCAGCUACCAGAUUUUCCUUAAAAUAAUUUGCUCGUGAAAGCAUGGCAGCUUGGAUCAUUCAUACUAUUAGAGAUGCUAUUAGUGGAUGCACCUCACUGAGCUGUUAUUGAAUCAUUGGCAAUUUGGAAAAUCUUUUUUUCAUUCAGCUCAAAACUAUUGGAGUAAAAGCAGUCUUUUUAUUGGGAUAGAAUUGCAUGUAAGACAUUCACCUAUCUGACAGUGCAGUAAAAUUUAUGUUUAAAAAAACUUAAUUUUGGUAAUUUGUGUUUCAAAAAUCUUAAAGGAAAUAAAUCUCCAGCCAGAAAACCAGUGUUCAGUUGUAGCACAAGAACGACUUGCCAAGCAAUCAGCUGAAGCAGGAGGUUCCAAUCUUGCAGAGCUUUAGGGGCUCCUGGCAGAGAGGACAACUCUUAUGUACGUGUUGACAAGUACAAGAUAAGCAAGCUUCCUACUUGCUGCAAUCUUGUCAGUUUAAUUACCCUCCAGUGGCCAUUUGUGAUAGCCACUUGGGAAGUCAGUACUGAGGAUGCAAGUUUAAGUCAGGUUCUGCUAGUUAUCAACUAAUUGCACAUUUUGGCAAAAAAAAAGCAGGGUCUGGCUUAAAAGAGGUGAAAGCUACCACAGCUGUAAAAUUCAAAAUAAACAUUUAUCUGUAAUUCUGUUUCUAAACUUAUAGCCAGCAAAAUUCUAAAACCAAAAUAUCUCUUUUCAAAAGGAGUCAAAGCUUCUAAAGUUAGGUCAUUUGCCUAAGUGUAAUUAAAAGCAAAGUUUCUUGCUAUCUGCUUUAAUGUACAUAAAUAUACUGACAAGGAUGUGUAUCACGGGUUUAAAAAUGCAAAUUUCUAUUAACAGAACCUCAUUUCUCAUUAGUGUAAGGUGAGAUAGAGACUUAGUGAUGUUUCAAGGAUCUUUUUCCUGUAGCAAUUAAGUUACAUGAGGAAAUGCUGCAUAUUUGGUAAAGUAGUUUUAAUUUCCUACUCUUGAAUAUAAAGUCAUUGAUCUCAUUAAUGCUAGGAGAAAGCAAUCAAAUUGCUUUCUGAUACAUUAGAAGGUAGAAUUUUUCCCUUGAGGAUGACUUUUUAAUCAUGUUGCAUAAACACUUUAUUCUCUGCCUUUUAAAAGUACUUCUGUUAUUUUCAGUUCAAAUUCCCGAGAUUUUACUGUAAAUGUUUGAAAUUGUCUUCUAAUACCAAACAUUAAAAUACCUUUACUAAUUUGCUCUCUCAUUUUUUCUAUGUAAAUUAGCCUCAAAUUAUUCUUAAUUCUCAAACUUGAAUUUCUUUAAUCCUAUUUUUCUAAUAUUGUGACUGCGAAUGGCAGGGAAUAACAAGGUGUUAACAGCUGUGACUUUAUACUUGAUUAAAAGCACAGAACCAUAACUUUGUGAUGCAACUUUAAGUCCUGUUGCUGCCAGAGGAGACUUUAGAGACUGAACUCUACCUGGUUUGUUUAUUUUUGAGAUGGUUUUGAUUUAUAUAAUGCUUUAUGCAGUGUGGCCGUGGUCUGAAGCAGGCCUUCCAGGCACUGUUGUGGUAUAGAUAUGUAUAAUAUUAACUCUCUUAUAUAGUACAUUCUUCUUCCAGUUGGCUUUAUGAAUUAUUUUUUCUUCAAAUGUACUGUACUAGUUUACUAUCCUCCUCCUCCCAUAUGUAUUUUAAUUUACCAUUUACAACCUUGCCUAAGUCAUUUUAAAAUAUUAUUUGUCAUUAGUGGGGUUUAGAACAUGUUCUAGAUUAAUAUAGUUUUUUUUUAGCAAUUUAAAAGACAAAUAGAUGGCUAAAUAUAAAAGUGAGACAUAAAACAUUGUUAUCUAGUGUGAUACCUUCUGUGAUUGUGGAUUUGUUUUUUGUUUUGUUUUUCUCCAGUUUUCUUGGAGACUGCUGAUUACAGACUUGAUUAAGUUGUCACACUGGUUGGCAGUUAUCUACCAGAGAUUAACCUUACUCCCUUUAUGUGGAAGAAGGUAUGUCAUAUCAAUGCCUUGUGUGGUCUGUACCAUGCAAGCUAUAUAGGGUAAUAUUAUUUUUCCAUGGUUAUAGAGAGAAUUGCUUUUAAUUUUCAACAGGGUCAGUGAGUCUUUAUUUACUAAAAACCAUAAUUCAACAUACCAAGAAGAUGCUGCUUUUGAAAUAUCAGAAGUUGAGAAACUUUAGCAGCUGAAAGCACACUCUGGGACAAUGUAACAAUCCACUUGCUCUCUGCUUGUACUGUUACCUUGUAAUCUGUUUCUCCAGUUCUGGAGAAAGUAUACUGUGCUCCAUGGAGUGUUAAUGUGACUGCAUAUAGAAUCAUAGAACUGUUUGAUCUGGAAGAAACCUUAUGGAGGCUGUCUAGUUCAACUCACCUGCAAUGAACAGGGAUACCUACAGCUCCAUCAGGUGCUCAGAGACCCUCCAGCCUUAUUUUGGAAUCCAGGGAGUAGGGCAUGCCUCACCACUCUCGUUGUUAAAAAAAAAAAACUACUACUUUUAUUUCCAUUCUAAAUCUCCCCUCUUUUAGUUUGAAACCAUUUCUCCUUUUCCUGUCACAGCAGACCCUGCUAAAGAGUCUGCCCUCUUCAUUCUUUCAGCCCCCUUUUAGAUAUUGAACUGUCACUCUCUGGUUUCUCUAGAGCAUUCUCCAGGCUGCACAGCCCCAACUCUCUCAGCCUGUCUCUGUAGGGAGGUGUUCUAUCCCUUGUGUCAUUUUUGUGGCCCUCCUCUGGAUGCAUUCCAACAGUUCUGGGUCUCUUCUCUACUGAAAACUCCAUAUCUGGACACAGUGCUCCAGGUGAGGUCUCACAGCAUGGAGCAGAGGGGGCAGGAUCACCUCCCUGACCUGCUGGCUGUGAUUCUAUUAAUGCAUCACAGGGUAUUGUUGGCAUUCUGGGCUGUGAGGGCACACUGCUGGCCCAUGUCUGCUUUUACAUUCUGCCAGUAUCACAAAUUUCCUUGAUCUACAUAUGUGUACAAAGGAGGGAGAGAAGGAAUUUAAGGGAUAGCAUUGAAAAGUUUCCACAAAAUGUACUUUACUUAGUUUGCAUUAAGCAAGAAAGAAAAUAGAAAUGAGGUUAUAGAAUCUCUUAGAAACUUAAUUAAUUGAGCAAGAAUGAUAAUUAGAUGAUAUUUCUCCUAUUGUUCUGAAAAAGCCUAUUUGAAGACUUUGUGUAUAAUGCCAAACUUUAAUACAUCUGUCCAAUCAGGUUGUCUCCCAAGAAUCUGUAUUUUGGAAUUGUAAUACAUGUCAGUGCUACAAACUCAGGGUCCAGUAAUGAUCUUCCUGAAGUUAAAAGCUGAAAAGCAGACAUCAGCAUGAGUUGGAUCUGCCCCAGAGUUUGACGGUGAUCACAUAGCUCUUUCUGUUUGUCAUUAACAAAAGUAAAGUUGUCAGGAGAAUUUGCUCUUUUGCUUCUAUUUGGUUUAUUGACUUUCCACUGUUAUGCUAAUAAAACUUUUGUCAGCAGAUGCAAAUAAGGCUUAGUUUAUCAACAGCAAAACUUUACACAACUUCUAUUUUUUUCCAUACAGUUACGUUUUGAGAGCUGAAUAGGAACCACAUGAAGAAGGCAGAUAUAAAUGUUCGUAAUACAAAUCUGCAAUGCUGUUUUUGCUGACCUUUCCUCCCCCUUCCCCAGUCAGGUAUGUCCUGUUAAUGAAAGGCUAUAGCCUUCCACAGAUUCUUAGAAAACUCAGAUGGUGUUUGAGGGAUAAAAAUUUGACACUGUAAUUUCCAACUGACUAAGAUCAGUUGGAAAGAAAAUGCAGGCAUAUCUAAACAAAUGACAAGGUCUUCCUGUGCUCAGGAUCCAAACUUAAUUACUGAUAUCCCUAUUAAAUGCCUUGAGAAAGGCUUGGGAGACUACUUAAACAAAUGCUUUCUCCUUUGCAUAGGUAACUAAAUCUAUUAUGUCCAUAAAAGCACAGUGUUACUGAGAGUAGAGACUGAAAAAUCUAUUGAAUUUCAGGGGGAAAUAAUGACUGGUUACAGCUGCAUAGCUAUCACAAAUGGUCAGGGAUUUGCCUUUAGCUGGGUUUCUCAGGGCUUGUACUUUGAGAAUAAGACCUUACGUACUCUUGCCAUCUAAUUUGAAGUUCUGUGUAUUAGUAACCAUGCCACCCUUAUUUGUAUCUCACAGUAUCGCAAACAGGUAUACAGAUUGUAAGGUAAAUAGGUAUAUGGGUAUAGGUACAGAGAAGUUAUUGUGUUACAAAGGAGUAAUGAAAUAAAGAGCUUACCCAUGUCCUGGGCUUGCUGAAGGGCUCCAAGAGGAGCGAUCUCCAGAGAGAGAUCCUUCUUCCUUGGGAGUCAGCCCUUAAAUGGGGUCUAGGAGAGGUGGAGCCAGGCUCCAUCCCUUCUGGUCACUCAAGUGAAACUGCGUUCACCUGUGCCCCUGCAGCUGAUUCAGUGCUUGCCUCAUGUGGUCAAUCAGAGGUUCAGGCUAUGAUUCAAUGGUUCCCAUACACUCACUUAUUACAAUAGAUAUAUUUACCAACCUGGGUUCAGUGAAUUACAUGGAAAACUGUCAUAAAGUACCCUUUCAUUAUAUGACGGGCUGAUUAAACUUGUAAUACCACUUGAACAUAAGGAAGCUAAGCUGACAAGAAGAAAUAUAUAUAAAAUGAAGACCUGAACUGCAGUUGCUCCUGUUUUUUUCCCCUUCAUCUGGGCAGGAAAAUAAACAAGUAAUCAUGUUAACUCCCUUUCAUUUGGUUAUUUUUAUAAUCAGCACCGGUUGUGCUUCUUGAAAGACCACCAAAUUUAUAUUAAAAUAUUUCUGUUUAUAAGAUAUGAUGUUAAAGGAUAAUAGAAUUAAAGGUAGAGAGCACCAGAGAAGCUUAAAAACAGUGAGGUCUUCUGCUAAUGCUGCUUGAGUGCACUGAUAUAGUGACAUCCUAACUCAAGCUAUAUCUCAGAUUGUUUUAAAAAAAUAAAUAUAUACCAAACUGUACACAUGAUCCACAACUUGCUAACCGUUUCCAUUUUACUUUGAAAAAUCAGUCCACUUUCUAAAGAUUAAAAAUUAAUGUAGAAAAUGGAAAUGGCUGGAGUUCAACAAUAACAUUUUAUUAUUACUUAAUUAGAUCGUUCUUUAGUUGGGAGAUCUUUAAUCAGAAAUAACACUUCUGGUCCUUUUUUCCUUUGCUCUCUUGCUGACAGAAUUCACACCUGUAAGGAUUUUGUUUAAACAAAUAAACAAAAACACAACAAAUCAUUUGUUGUUCUUUAAGAUUCUUAUAUUUUAAAUACCUAUAGGAAAUGUUUUCCAUUAGAUGAAGAAUAAGAGGCAAAUGUUAUUGUGCAUACCCAUAUUUGGCAUUUCAUGAUAUUCAGCCAAAAAAAUCAAUGUGACCCAUAUGUUGAAACAGUAUGCUUUUGGGGCAUUUUUUUCUGUAGUGCACUACAAAUGAGUAUAUGCAUUUCUCUUCUCAUGUUUGCCUUUGUAGAAAAUACAGAAUAGUAUUUUUUCAGAGUAGUGUAAUUGUUUUUUCUUCUUUGUCUGCAUUAGUCUCUGCAGAGGGUGGAGUAAAUGUGAUUGGUCCUCUUUGUCUUCACUGUGGCUGUUGUCAGCAGGAUGGAUGCGAAGUGAACCUUGUGAAUUAUCUUGUUUCAGACUCUAGACUACCUAUGAAAAAUGGAAGCAGAUGGUAGAUAGUGGAAGUGUAGCAGUAGUAUCUCAUGAUAUAUAUGUGUUCCUCUUUGUCAUUGUCUCCAUCAUGAGUGUGUGUUCUUGCAGAAAGUUUGAACAUAAAAAUACAAGAGAAUGUGAGGAAAUAUCUAGGUGGAUGAUUUUACAGAAGCUUCUUUUAAUUCAUUUUUUAUCUGUUCCCUUGUAACCCACAUUUCUACAGCUGUAUUCAAUAAGUGUAGCUUAGGUAAAGAGAUUACUCUUUGUCUUAUUUGUGGUCUAUGUGUCAUCAUGUCUUGGUUUUAAUAGUAAAUGAUGCUCACCCAAAAAUCCCUUUACUUAGCAUAGAACUCAUGGAAUUGAGUGAGAUUAACUCUCCCUUAUUGCACCAUUCAGUUUGACUCAAGUAGGGUAAACACCAAUAAGACACAAGUUGUGAGCGUUGUGGAUGCACAGGAUUUGAAUUGUGUUAUUCAACCUGCUUCUUAUGUUAAGAAAGUUUGUGACAAACUCACAAGAUUAUGGGAUGAAGAGAACAUAGUGUCAUGGAUGACGUGCCUUGACUUGCAGGUUUUAUGACUUAACAAUCCAAAAUUCAGUUACUGUGUGUUGUUAUACUAAGGUGAGCUCUAAAAAAUGGCUAAUUGAUUUCAAAGAGUAAGAAUUGAUUAAUUCUUGAUUAAUCUAAUUAAAUCUUGAUUAAAUCUUGAUUAAUUCUAAUUGCUGGUGUGUUGAAACUGGGAGAAGAAUUGAUAAGGAAUUGAUAAAGAAUUGCAAUUUCUGUCAAACUUGUUGGGCCUUGAAGUUCUUAAUUACCUAGAAAAGAUGUGGUAACCUCUAAUUACUGGAGUUUUUCACAGUGCUGAACUGAAAGUAAGCUAGAAAUGCCAGCUCUCCUUGAAUCAAUGAAAUUAGAAAUAAAGAUUGAAAAUGAUAGUCUUUGCCAAAUGAAAGGUUAAAAUAUAAACAAAAACAAAUAAAUAUGAAGAAAAGGAAGACACAUGUUCAUUGUGGAAGAGAACUCCCAAAACCCUAGCACAGAAUGGAGAGGAAGGGCAGUUAGAAAUAAUUUUGCGAAGUGGUAUUUCAGGAAAAUGCUAUUGAAUUGUUGCUGAUGUGGAGACUCUCGAAGGCCCUGCAUGAUAUGUAAAGCUUGGUCAUUGUUCUAUGGUGUAUGGCUGUGUUAAGAUUGAACAUGGACUGCAGUGUUCAGUGAGAGACAUCUUGUUGAUGGAAUUCUGAUAAAGGAAAAGGGAUAUAAUGAAAUCCAUUUCCACCUUUGCAUAGGAGAGUCUCAUAAAAGCUCAUUCACUUAUUCAUGUUUACAUUUCCAUAUUUGAGGCAAGACUUUAACAAGAAGUCUGAUGACUUUGAGAGAACUUAACAGCUUUUCCCUUUUGCCUCACCAGCAGCUUUCUGGUGUAGCUACAAAGUGAACCACCAUAUGCCUCAGGCUUCAGUUCUGCUGUAUCUUCUGCUUUAAUUUAAUAGUCACAUAAUUGCAUUAUCUUCUCCAGAUGUGGUUUCGUUAGGUCUGGCUAGAAUUCUAUUUGGCAUAAAAUUUUGAGAUCUUAGAACUUAUGUUCAUACAACUUUGGGAAAAGAUAGGGAUGUGGACUAGAAAAGACUAAAAGAAUAUCAUGAUAGAGAAGAAACAGUGCAAUGGGGAAAUGAUUUGCUUUGCAGUUUGGACUUUGCAAAAGCUGUUUUUUAACUCUUGGCCACAGAAUGUUUUGAUAAAUUGAUGUUUAUGUGCACAAAAAAGGUGGCUCUAUGGAGGAGGUAGUGUAGGUCCCUUAUUUAACUCAGAGACAAGAUGAUGCUGGGAGCCAUUUUCCCAGCAGUGAAACAGCAUUCCAACAGUGAAUAGUGAAUGAGCAAAGAUAUAUUUCUGUUUGGGCUUAUUCUGUUGCUUCGUAUUUAGUCUGUUUGCAGCGGGCGUAUUAAUAUCACCAUGACUUUUAUUAGUUCAAAUCCCACAUGAAACUAUUAAGUAGGCACUGACUUUGUUGCUAUUGCUCUGGAUGUUGUGGCUUUAUAGUUGAAAUAUAAUGGUUAAAUGGGGUGUAGCAUUCUCUGUGGCCAUCUGUUUUUUAAAGGUUUGUUCUGGCAAAAUUAAAAUAGACAUAUGCAUAUAAAUAAAAACCAUUUUUUUUCUCUUAAAUAAACAUCCAAAAAGAUUCAAAUGCCAAACAAUUACUUUCAUUUGCUUUCUUCUUGUGGGUGAAUUUAUGUUUCCUAGAACACAGAGAAACAAACAUAGUUUUUCUGUAUAAUUAUAUUGCAGAUAAAUAUUUGAUUCUGCAUCUGCUGUGCAAUCUUAAUCAGAUUGUUGCAAUCCAGUUAUGAAAAAAAUUCAUUGUAUUCUUCCUCAUUUUAAAAAAAAGAAGUCCAACUAAAAAUGGGACUGGAGAGUUGCACUUUGAAAAGGGCAAUCCUCGUGUCUCAGUUUAAUUGCAGUUGUACCAUUUUUUAUUCUUUUGUUCUGGAGGAAUGCAGUGUGAAAUCUUCUGAUUUUUCCAAAGUGACUAGUGGCAUUAGAUGCCUUGCUAGAAGAGUCUACAAGUUUUCAAUGUGAAAAAUGUAGGAAAAUGUGAAUUAUCUUUUCUUUUUCAGACAAGCGAGUUUUAUUCUCUGCUUACACACUGAAAAUUGGAAACAGUUUGUCACUUUUUCCUGUGUUCUGUGAAAAGGGAAUAUAUAUUUUUAGAUUUUUUUUUAAUGCACAUACAUGCAAGGGAAAACCUAUUGAUGCUAGUGAGCCUUUCUUCCAGGAAAGGGAAGGGGAGGACCAAUCUUUUGAUAAAGGAGAUUCAGGAUGAACCACAACCUUCUAAAACAAACAAGAAUGAAUUCCAAGGCCAGCCCUCAAGAGUCCCUGACCAAGGAGACCAGGAAGAAAGUCUGGAGUAAGGAAGAGUUUCCCUUGGUUAAGAAGGAUCAGAUUAGUGAUGAUUCAGGUAAACUUGACAUCCACAAGUCCAUGGGCCCUGAUAGAAUGCAUCCAUGAGUGCUGAGAUAGCUGGUGGACUACAUUACCAGGCCACUCUUGAUCAUCUUUAGAAGGUAAUGGCCAUCAGAAGAGAUGCAUGAAGUCUGGAAGAAAGCAAAUGUGACCCUCGUCAUCAAAGGGCAAGAAGGAAGACUCACAAAACUACAGGCCAGUCAGCCUCAUCUCAGUCCCUGGAAAGGGGGGUGGAACAGUCAUCCUGGAGGCCAUCUCUGAGCGUGUAGAAGACAAGAAGGUGAUCAGGAGUAGUCAGCACAGAUUUAUCAAAGGGAAAUCAUGCUUAACCAAACUGAUUCCGCUUCUAUGAUAGGAUAACUGGUUGCAUAGAUAAGGGGAGAGCAGUGGAUGUUGUCUACCUUGACUUCAGCAAGGUUUUUGAUACUGCCUCCUAUACUAUCCUCAUAUUGUGAUGGACAGUGUGUUGACCAUGAGUCAGCCACGUGCCUUUGUGGCCAAGAAGGCCAUUGGUAUCUGAGUUGCAUUAGAGCAUUGCCCUCAGGUUGAGGGAGGUGAUCCUCCCACUCUACUCAGUCCUGGUGAGGCCUCGCCUAGAGUACUGUGUACAGUUCUGGGCUUCCCAGUGCAAGAUAUGGACAUACUGGAGAGAGUCCUGUUGAGGGCAACUAAAACAAUUAAAGGACUGUAGCACUUCUGCUAGGAGGAAAUACUGAGGGACCUGGACCUGUACAGCUUAGAGAAGGCUCUGGGGGAGUAUCAUCAAUGUGUAUCUGAAGGGAGGUAGUCAAGAGGAUGGUCUCCCACUGACUCUUCUCAGUGUGGUGCACAGUGAUAAGGCAAGAAGAAACAGGCACGGACUGAAACACAGAGAAGUUCUGGCUGGAGAAGUAAAAGCUUCUUUACUGUAAUGGUAACUGAGCACUGGAAGAGACUGCCCAGAGAAGCUGUGGAAGCUCCUUCCCUGGGAUCUUCAAAAGCAGCCUUUACACAAUCCUAGGUGAUGUGCUCCAGGGAACCAAGCUUGAGCAGAGAGGUUGGACUAGUUUAUCUCCAGAGGUUCUUUCCAGCCUCAGAAGUAAAGAAAAAAAUAUGAUAGAAAUAUCUCAGUUACAAUAUCAAUAAUGUCCAUGAAGUAUUGUAUUCUUGCAUUUAUCUUUGCAAAAGCGAUGCUCAGGUAGAGCUUUGCAUUCACACUUCAUGAAAAUGUUUGUUAACAGCUCUUGAAUUCAAGCAUCUGGGUGCAGAUAAUUGCCUCUAGGCCAGUACUACCCUUUGGAUUUGGAGAUAUUUCGAAGUAUUGAAUGCUAAAUCGUUGACUCAGAUGACUAUAAGUUUUCUCAGUCAGUUUUUAUGGAUAAGAGAGCUCUGGAGAAGAAGUAGAACAUGCUGAACAGGAAACUUUAUUUUACUGAUUGCUUAGUAAGUGAAGGGACAUUUAUUAACCAAAUAAAUCAACACCACCCAUGGCAGCUUGCCCCUGAAGUAUCUACUAAGGAGAGAGAGAUGAAAAAACCAUGAGGAAAAAAUUAUCUGGUGUGUGCUCUGCCUUUCUGCUUGCAAUUUUCUAGAAUGUAUUCAUUAUUCAGCAGUAUUCACCAAACAGUGUCUGCAAGAUAUACUUCAAAUGAAGAGUAUUUUUCACUAGUUGGGGGGAACCAGUUUUUUGUUCUUUGUCUUUGAUCCCUUACUCAAAAUGUCCAUGGUUCACAAAUGAGACACCAAAGCAUUACAAAGAUACAAAUCAAUAGUAGUAUGAAUCACCUGUGGUAUUCCUGUAGCUUGACUUUGGACCCUCCAUAAUGACCUCCACAGACAUCAGUGGCAUUCAGAAGAAAACUUAAUACCUAUUUUUCAUCAUAAACGUUUGAGACUGCCACUUUAAAACACAUUAGGCACAUUUUCUAUACCCAUUUUUUACAAAUAUUUGCUUCAGUGGCUCUCUCCCAUUAAAUGUUUUGCUAGAGUAUCUGUUGAAAGUGAAUUGUAAGGAAGAUACAAACCCACCUGAAACUAAUCAAGGACUUGAACAGAUACAAUUAAGAAAUAGUGUUUUCCUGUAACUGUAACCCAGGGUCUAUGUUUUUAGGUAUUUUUCCCCAUCUUUCUAUUUUGUAAGUGUUCUAGCUGUGGAGCUGUAUAAGAAAGUACAAACCAAGAUCAUCAGUAGUGAAAUCUUGCUUUGGAAAUGUUUAGAAUAUUUUCAGAAAGAUAACACAAGUG
rnacentral:lncRNA from 1 species